AUUUAAACCAAAUUAAAGUAAGCUUACAUUGUGUACUCAAGACAGCUGGCCAGCAAAUGCCUCACUGGAAAACCUGGGACAAAGGACAGCAACUGCUCUCAGGAAAGAAAGGUUUUUGUAGCAAAGAAGGUUACAAAGGGGCUUGUGUUGGGAACGUAUAGCUAACAGUGUUCUGGCAAUCAUGAUACAAAGGCAGAUAGCAGGUUAAUGAUCUACAUGGCUUAACAUUUAAAGUUAGGGAGUAAAUUGAAAUUUCAACAUCAGAAUUUGUAAGAUCCUGCUAAGGUUUUAGGGAGAGUUGUUUCUGGUAAGGGAGAGCCAGAAUUUAUGAGGAGGCACUAAGGUUUUAGGGAGGGUUGUCAUCUGAUCAAGGAGAGCCAGGCAUGGGUGAGUUCCGAGCAGAGGCAGAAAUUCCAAACAAAUUUUUAAAACAUCAAAUUAUGGUAAGUUCCAAAUAGAAAUCUUUGUAUUUUAUAGUAAAAAAGAAAUGAACUUUUCAUGACUUUGUGACAGAUGGAUUCCAAUCUUAAGAUGGAAUUAAGCUGGGUUCAUCACUUAGAAGACCAAGAGUAAUUGUGUUUAUAUUUAGCAAUUACUUUUUUAGCAUUUUAACUUACAAAUGACUCAGAUGUUUUCUCUAAUUGAUACAUUUAUACAUAUUUAACCAAUUUAUGUCAGAUCUAAUUUUCCAGUUUUAGGUUACUCACAAAAAUCAAACUUUCAGACAAGUUAAUUUUUAAACUGUUUUCCCCUGACAAAGGAAAAUCUUAAAAGAAAGGGAGAGUAUACUUUAAACAUCUAAACAGAGACAAUGCAAUCCCAAUUGGCUGGUAACUUGGGGAAAAAAAGUGUUAGUAAUUUUAGAGAUAUUUUUACUGUUAUCUUACCAACAAAUUUAAAUUAACUUACUUCUCAAAGAUUUAUUUAAAUCACAUGGACUAAACAUGUGGGUUUAUGUUCUUUUUAAAUGUGUGAGCAACCAUUGAUUUAUACGUCAAUUUGAUACUUUGUAUAUACAACACAUAAUACAUGCCUGUCCACAAACAUACUAAAAAAAAAUAUAGCUUUUAUUUAGAUUCAUCUUUUUCCAGUCCUUUCAAUAGAUUAUUAUAGUCUUAAGCAAUUCAUAAUCUUAAAUCUGCUCUUCCAAAGGUACAAUUUCCUCAAAAACAAAGCAGAAAUUUUAUAUCUCUAUGACAGAAUGUAGUCUGAACACCACUGAGAAGGAUAAAGGCAAAGGCCCAGAAAAGCAAAAAGUUUAAUGGUGAGGCUUGUUUUGGAGGCUUAAGUUAAUAUUUUAUUUAUUUUAAGAGAUAAUCAAUAGAGGGAGUCACCCACUCAAAUGAUAAUUUCUUGUUGAAUAGCUUAAAAUCAUAUUUUGGAGAACUUCUUAUUUAAUAAGUUCUUCUGACUUAGCUUAUUUUCUUGUCAUAUGUAAUCAUUCAAUGGGUAGGCCAAGGGUUCUCUCCAUGCCCACCCAACCUAGAAAGCCUAGUUUGAACUUUACAAAACCUUUUCUUCCUCUUUAAUUUAUUAUAGGUUUCAGUAAUCUUAGAAAACGCUUGCCUUACAUUUUAAAAUAUUUCCCAUUGUAUCAGAAUAUAGAAUGGCCAGUCAGAAAUUCAUAAAUAUCUUACAAUUUUAACUUAUUUCCCAAGAAUUCUAGAGCAAUGUGGUGGAAAUCCAAUUUAGGAAUAUUAAGUGUCCCCCAUUUCUUGAAUACUUGCAAGUUGAAGCAUCAUGAUCAUCAAACAUAAAACCAGUUUGAGUGCUAUGUGAGGUUUCUCCUCCCUUAAAUAUGUUCCCCAUUUUGGUGAAAUAGCCCUUUCUCCCCAAAUCAUUACCUUGUGAACUACUGGGGUACAUGUGUUUUGCACUAAAAAGUUCAAAGUUGCAAUGAUCAGGAGAAAGAGACAAAGACAAAGAUGCAAAAAGGAAUAUUUACACAAUCAGGUGGCAGGAGAAAAAGAUCAAAUGUUAGCAAGUAAUGUUCCACCAAAAAUUGUGAAGCAAAAGCUAUCCAAAUUCACCAGCUAAGAAGCAAAGAACUAUCAACCAAGAAAUAAGUUUUCAGUAGGGAUCAUUGAUACACCAGUUACUGGUGAGAAGUUCUGCUCCCUCACAUGUUGAACUAUAACAUUAGAAAAGCAUGAGGAGGCAAGCAUAUAAAGGAGGAUUUAUCUAAAAAGGGGUAAAAUAGAGUUCUCCCAGGAGGAAGAAGGGGGCUAUAGCUGGUAUUCUAGUAUCUCAAGAAGCACCAUAUUAUGCCUUUUUGUAUGUCUUAAGCUUCCUUUGUUCUCCUGAUCCCUUCCCCUUAUCUUUCUCCUUCCUGCAUAUGUGAUUAGGCCCAGGAAAUGCUCAGUGGGAUGGCCAAAAGAUAGGAAACAGGUGGGUUGAAGGGGAAGAGGAGGUUGGAGCAGCCCAGGACACACUAAUUAACAUCUUUAUAGCUCCCUGUAGGAAGGGGUAAUCCCUAUGACAGGUUACAUUAGCAACAGGUUGGAGCAGAGACAGGUUCUUGAUAAAGGUGCAGGAAGAUUUCUGAAGGAAUUAACAUUUCAGUCCUUUAGGAGGCAGCCUCCAACAUCCCAGAUUCACUCAAAUUGGCCUCCUUGAUCUGACCUGACUCUCUUUACCUAUCUAUAUUGACUGCCUAUCUAAUUCUGGCUUCACCAUCACCACCAGCCAUUAUUUACUUAUUGAUUUUUUGCCUUUAUUGAGUCACUCAUCACAAACACAGAUUAACAGACAAAAGAGUGCAUAAAACAAUUACAUUAAAUCAGUGUGUACUUUCAGGAAUAAAAGCCAUGCUGUACUUUAAUAAUGAACCAUCUUUUCCUUAAUCAUAUGUUUAUUGCUAUAAAUAAAUCAGGCAGCCAAAAUUCUCCCUAGGGGACACUGGCACAAAAUUAGGAUUUUCUGUUCUAAUACAAAUAAGAAUAGAGAUGUCCCCCAAAACAACAUUACUUUUAUUUUGUUAUUAAAUCCCUUCCCUGCUCACUGGCACUACAAAGUUAUGGAAUACAAACUUCCCUGUCAGGCAAAUGGCAAAAGUUCACACCGGUUCAAAAAAACCCAAAUUGGCUCAAAUGAGCCUCAAAUGACAAGGAAAAGGAAGGGUGAGUGCCAACAUGCACUGUCAUAAAGAAGUGCAAUCCUUCCCUGUUGGAGAUUGUGUAUGAAUUAUGGGUUUAUUUGAGUCAUUACAAGGUAGAUCGGGGGUUGCUUUUUAAGGAAUAACCAGGUGGAAAUUCCCCAUUCAAGAAUGCCAGAUUAUACUGACCCCCUGUUUAACUCACAGCUCUAGAUUCAAAUGUAGCUGUCUGGAGGUGGGCGGAACCUGUUCAGCCCCAAACAACUCGUUUUCCCCAUUUUCAUUUGGCUUUCCUAAAGAAGCUUCUCACUGUAUUCUCCUGGAGACUGGAGACUCCAUUUUUGGGAGUUAGACCCAAUCUCCAUCAGAGCUGAUGGAUUCUGCUUUUUACUUACUUUUAUGUCUGGUCUUACUGCUUCAAUUUCUCAUACCUUUAAUAUUUCCAAUCAGACUAACCACCCUAGCUCAAGAAACUAAGUAAAUGUCAUGUGGGUUCUGACACUUCCCAUCGUCUGGAGGUGUUAGCAACCAGAUGGGAAUGCUAUCUACCCUUUUCCUUUUCUCUGAUAACAAGUUACCUGUCCUUUGCCCUGGUCUCAUUGUCUCUCAAGGGAAAACUUACUGCUAUGAGGGGAAAUGGGCAAUGACUGAUCUGGCUGCUUCAGGUUGAGAGGGGGUAACAUGGAACAAGUAGUUUGGGUUUCCAUUUUAGGAAUGUUUUGGGUCAGUUAAGGGGUCAGGGGCAAAAGUCUGGUUCAGAAAGAACAGGUUGUAAGUCAUUUGAGAGAGGAUGGGCUCUCUGAGAGAAACAAGAAAACAUGAGUACUGGAAUGAGAUUAAUACAAAACUAAGUGAAUAUGAUGAUGAUUAUAGAGACCAGCAAUUUUUUUUUUCACCAGGAGGUGCAAGAGCUAAGAAAUUGUUCCCAUGACAAUGGUAGUGAUGACAUGACCUCUGGUUUGGAAUGUAAAUGUUUAAUAAUAAUGUAAAUGUUUAAUUAAUGACAUUGCCAGAGUUAUCAGGAAUGUAAUCACAUACUAAGUUUUUAUAAUGUCACAGAUGCCCCCAUAAAAUAUAAAGAUAUCUAACAUCAUCUGAUUUUUGUAAAAUACAUUUAUAUUGGCAUAAAUACCUCUGUGUUUAGUACAGAUAUCUUUAUUUCUGUCACUUAGGGCUAGAUAAUUAUAUUACCAAAACAGAUCAAGUUUGCCCAUGUAGGAGGUUAGGAAGAUUUGUAGGACUUAAUUUAAAAACAAACAAACAACAACAACAACAAAACCAACUUUUGAAUCUGAUAGUCUCUUUUAGUAGUUAUUAGGCACUCUUAAGAAUCUUUCUUUUAUAGCAUUCAGCUUUAUUUACUCUUGGUGGGGCUCUCACAAGUGUACAUCGAAGUCAUAUUGAAAGAACUAUUAUUUUUUCUUUUAAAUGUCCAGGUAUGGCUGUGCUUUAUUUAUGACUUUCUUUCCUAGGUGUUAAAGACCAAGCCAGUCAAAUUGACCUUGUUUCUAUCUAUUACUAAGAGUCAACUGAGUUUCCUGGGGGGGGGGGGGCGGUCACUCCUGGGAACACUGAAGAGUCUCUUAGCUUCCUUAGUGCAUUAUGCAAGGAUGGGUCAGAGUCUUGUUGAAUAUGUGUGGCUUCCCUUGGAAGUAUUAGGACAUUUCCCUCUCCAAUGACCCUCCUCUUUGCAGCAUGUGCACUGCUUGGCUUUCUGGUGUCCAUGUAAUCAUUGAUUCUCUGAUCAAGAGGUCAUGUGGCCCAGAGUUGCAAAGCCCUUGGAGAAGUCUCCUUAUGCCUGGGGUUCAAGUUGACCUCAGAGGGCACCAGAACAAUACUGGGUAUUUUCUUCUUGGCCCGCUUAUUUUUUUAACUUUAGGCUCCAAGUUUUGGUCUUAAACAUCUAGCAAGUCAUUUUCACCAGUCUUGAUAGAGGAGUACUGAAUUUUAACUUUAAUGUCUAUUAUUUUAUAGUAAUUUAUCCUUUCCAUUUAAUUGAGGUCAGUAUCAGUACUAGAAGUUAGCUUUAUAUCCUGUAUGUGAUAUGGAUGAUGGUCUGUUAUCUCAAAUUAACUCAGGUUGUUAUAUUACAAGCUGUACUUUUGUAAGGCACUAACAGAGGAUAGUUAUGAAAUUUACAAGAAAAGUACAAGAAUGGAAUUAACAAGAAUAAUUAGGUAACAUUUAUAAUGGAAAUGUAUCUUUUUAACUUAACUUUAAAUGAACUUAAGUAGUUAUCUUAACACAGACUAGGGUGAGAGGAAGAGUCCUAGCUCAGGUAAGGUGGUCUCUUUAUACAGUGUUUUAUUUUUAAAGCUGAUCUUUGCCACUUUUUAAAAUAUCAUUUUACAAAGCCCUUAUGUAUUGUUGCCUGAAUUCAUGUCAACAUCAGUUAACAUAAUACACUAUUACAUCUGAAACAAAAAUCAAACAAGCUAAGAAAGCUUUUGUAAGGUCAGGCAGUGGUGACCUAAAGGAGGCAGAUUUAAACAGGCUGCUGAAUGAGGCUUUAUUGAGAUUUCAUUGCUGGGUGGGACUCUCAGACCAACAGGGUAAUUAGAGGGUCUGAGGAGAAAUGCAUGGGGCUCAACCAGACUGGAAUUUUAUUGGGAUUAGGGCAGGAAGGUAGGACUUGGGACAGGAAAAGGGGUUUUUAGAGUCCCUUGUCCUACUGGGGUUGGUUGAGGGAGCUGGCUAAGAUUCAGAAUUGGCCAGGAGACCCCACUGAUUGACAGGGUGUUCUAUCAGUGCCUGAUUAGUGUUUCUUUUGCAUGCACAGGUUGCUUGGAGCUUUGUUCCUGAGCCACCUCAAUCAACCUGACAUCCCAGGCUUUGUGAUGAAUUUCAUUUCACUACUUCCAGCUGGAUAGGGGUGCCAGGGGAAAGGGGGUAGAUUGGGUGUCAGUUUAGUGGGGAAGCUACUGUAGGGGUGUAGGAGAAUCUGGUUGUAGGUCAUUCUGGCAAUUUCACUCACGUGCUUUUGGGCAAUCAAGAUUCCUCAGUUUGGUCUUUUAUGACCAAACUGCUGAACACAGGAAGGACUAGGUGGCCUAGUUGAAUCCAGUAAUGUUAAGGGUGACUAUUCGAUUGCAGCCAGUGGAAAGGCAAUCACCUUGAUCCAUAAACUGAAAGCAAGUUGUGCCAUCCUGCUUCCAUGUCGCUUGGAUGUAGAAGUAUCAUCUGGAGGUUGAGAUAAAGCUUGAGAGAGAUUAAUAAUUAGUAAAAGACGUGGGUUGGUAAAAAAAAAUCUUGAGUUUGGUAGGCCCCAGCAUGGUAGAAGUCCAGGGCUGGACAUUUAGAAGAGGCAUUUUUUUUUAAGGUGGGAGACAUGGUACUAGAGGUAGUGGCCCAAAAGCGUGGUUGCUGUUGGGGUAGUAAUUAUGACUGUANUCUUUUAGUAGUUAUUAGGCACUCUUAAGAAUCUUUCUUUUAUAGCAUUCAGCUUUAUUUACUCUUGGUGGGGCUCUCACAAGUGUACAUCGAAGUCAUAUUGAAA
rnacentral:lncRNA from 1 species